rnacentral:lncRNA from 1 species
CUUGGGAGAUUAAUUUGGUCUCAUCCCUUGCUAAUUAGCUAGCCCAAUUUGGUGAGAAUUUAGAUCAGAUCGUGCCACAUAGAAAUAGCCUAAAAUGGGAUACCACAUCUCAAGUUAAUGCCAAUUAUGAAGAGUUCAAGUUGUGAAGGACUCUAGGCACAAAACAGGUUUUGCAUGCGCAUGUUGGCAUGAGUAGGAGUCCUUCUGGCAUGGGAUUCACAUGCGUGUGGUGGCCCUAAUCACCCUCUGUCCUCUGGUGCACAUCUCAAAGUAUGGAUGGAUUUUUCAGGAUUAAUAUGAGGUAGAAAAAAAUUGGAAAGAGGAAGGGUCUCUUGCACGUACGCGAUGAAGCAUACAUCUCUCUACAUUUUAGAGAGUCUUUCUCCUGAUCAAACUCAUUCAAAUUGGAACAAUUUUUUUGAUAAUGUUUCACAUUUGAUCAGGUAUUUUUGAUGAUUUUUUUGAAUUUUUUUCAGACUUAUCAAAUGGCCAAAUGGAUGCCAGAAACCUCCUUGCAUGCAUGCAUGCGCGGUGAUCCGAACUCACAUGAAGAGGUGCAAGGAUAAUAUUGUUUCAUGAGAUUUUUAUCAUCUUAUCAAGUUAUCUAGAAUCAAAAAUGAGUCUCCCAUCCAUGUAGAUUUUUGUAGAUUUUUUUGAUUUGAGAAGGGAUGCAAAAACAUCCCUUCUCUGGUCGCACGUGUAGGUGGAGGUGCAGAUCGACAUAUGAGUGAUAAGAGUCCUUUGGCUUAAGGGAACUCUUAUCUCUGAUAAUCUAAUUAGAUAAGCCUCUUAGAUGGGGUGUGUCCCUCCCUUUUGGCAUCCAUCUGGUGGCUAUAAAAUAGCCUAGGUGAUGGGUGUCCAAGGCAUUCAGAUUGGCUUUCCAAUUUCUCUCUGAUUACUUUCUUUUUUUUCUUACAACCUAUCUUAGUUUUAGGACAAAGCUUUGAAAUUUAAGAUAAAGUCUUAUCUAGUCCUAGCACGGGUUGAGAAGGUCCUAAAGAAAGAGAAUCAAAAGUUCGGAGGAAGAUCUAAGAGGAUCGAGUUAGGUUCUUGAAGAAAUCUAAUCGGUACAGGGCUAGUCGAGUUUUAGGGGCUAGAACUCUUAAAGUAAGGUGAAGGAGGAGCGCUAUCUUUGGUUUAAUUUUCAUGUGGAUCACCAUUGGCAAGCGGACACUUGGACGCCUUAUGAAAAUUGAGAUUAGUGCUACAAGUAUUCUUCUUAUCCAAGUUUAAUUUAAUUAUACUUUGAUUGAUAUAGUCAAGAGUUUCUGGGCAUUUGGGUUUCUGAUGCGUCAAGUAUUUUGAAUAAAAAUUUUAAAUAUCUGGUUCUUCCACUGUGCCACCAGAACCCAAUAGUGGUAUCAAAGCCUACCUUGAUCUAUAUAAUCAAAGGUUAAAAUAUUAUCUUGAUUGUGAUCAAGCUUGGGUUUUUGGUUUGGUUCAAGUUGGGUCAAGGGUUGAACCCAAUUGAACAUCUAAACUCGAGCAUAUCUUAGAGAUAUGUUUUAAAUAUUAAAUGCAUGAUGUAUGUAUAGAAUUUUUCUUAAUAGCUUAGUAUUCUAAUUGAGAUUCAUCACCAGACCGUCCAAUCAUAAGAGCGAGUAGGGUUUAAAGAUCCUCUCUUCUCAUUUCAUAGGGAAAUCUUAUGGUGUGUAG